GGAGGAAGAGGAAAGCCCAGUUGCCAGGCAGAGAUGGGAAAAGAGAUCUGUGAGCAGAAAUCCUGGCUGGAAACAUCUGUGGAAGGGAAAACACUCAUCAUCUUGGGUCUCCAGUUAAUGUGGCUUAACCUUGAGCCUCAACAUCUUCCAUGGCAGCAGAGCCAAAUGGUGACAUCCUGUGCUGUUCUCUCCAAGGAAAAAUAUGAGCUCCUCGACCCGGAGGUAACUCCGCAGCGCAGAGAUGGAGGGACGACAACCAGAUCCCUUGUGGUCCCACUGGGUCAGCUCACAGUGAAAAACAACAGGUCUGCAAAAUCAGCGUGUAAUUUUGGUGGAAGGAGUUUAACUGUUUGUCCAAGAGGACAUGCAGGGAUUUGGCUGGGACAGACCAACACGGAGGCAAUGGCAAAAGAAUCAAGCACAGAAUGCCAGAUUGGAAGGGACCUCAAGUAUGAAGGGAAGAGACCUCAAGGAUCGUGUUUCCUCAACAAUAAACUCUCCGAACUCCCAAGCAGCGUUUGGCAGCUGAAGUCACGUAGCUGCUGUAGAUCAGCAGAUUCACAGCAAUUGCUUGUGAUGUGACCAAUUCGCAGGAACAGGAAAGUGUGUUGAGUGACUAGUAUCUGUAUUUCACUCUCCCCUUGUAGCAGCCAAGAAGUUUAACAGACCAUUACUGUGAGCACACACUCUUUUCUUAGACUGUUGACUGAGUGGGGUUGUGGCCAUCAUGACAGAACUGGCCACUCCGAUGGCCGAGGUUGGACACUAGGUCUACUCAGCUCCUUCCCAAGGGCUGGACCUGCUUCUCUGGUGGUAUCCCAGCUCCUCCGUGUUCCUUCGGAUCUCCCCUACAGUUGGGCUGACUCCCAGAGGAUGACAGACAGAGCGGGUGUCUCCUUCAGCACCCAUAAAACAUGACACAGCCUUUGCUCCAGCUGGGACAGCCAGGCUGAGCCACGUUGGCUGCAGCUUUUGAUGUCAGGGUGAAGGGAGGGGACCUCAUAAAUUCAUUUGGAUGUGCUGCUAAUGUUCAUGCCAAGAGUGCGUAUCUUUUCUUAAUCCUUCCCCUCAAUGGCAUAUUUCCCUGACUUGUUAAUGGACCUAAUUCCGGAGGACUGUAAAGAGGUCCUGGACUGAGGGAGCUAUCACAAUUCACUGGGAUGAGACUCAGCCAUGUACAUGGAUGCAAAGAAAACUGAAGUAAUUCCUCUUUCUCUCAGUUACAGGUAUUUUCUCUUGAGUUUGGAAUCUUCUUAGUGAGAAGAAACUGCAAGAGAUGCUCUCUCUCGCUGCUGAGCAAAUAUUCUCCCCCACAAUAUUGUCCCCUCUUGCUGGCACAAGAGUCCACGUGAGCUCUCCCUGACCAGUUUCAGACAUGGACCCUCCAGAAUCUCCCAUCACUCCUGUACCCUCCCAGCUCCUGCUGCAGGAGAAAGAUAAUUCAUGGAGUGAUGCCUGAUCCAGCUAAGAUCUUCAUGGGUCCAUGAGAGCCAAGGACAGCCACCACAGCCACAAGGUGACACAUGGCACUGUCCGUGGGGGACAGUGUGUGGCCUCUUUGGGAGUGUGGCAUCACAGCACUUGCUUUAAAGAGGACUUCUUCUGGCUCCUGAGAAAUGGAGAGAUGUUCUGAUCAUGCCUGAGAGGUGAUGGACAAAAAGUGCCUGAAAUCAGACAUCAGAGACACCAGCGUGAGGAGGGAAGGGGGCAUCGUGUCCCUGUUUCCAGGGGGAGGUGGCAGCUCAACCCUUGCAGGGCCAGUGUGGUUUUGGCAGCACGUGAGGCUGAUGGCUCCGUGUCUGAUGCGGGACAUGAAGUGAGUGAACUCCAAUCUGAACCUCUUCCUAGAAAGCCUCAAAUCUGGCUUUGGUCUGAUAUUAAGCAGAAGAAACAGGGACAGAUGACUUCCCAUCCUGACUCCUUGAUUUAUUCUGAUUUUCUUCCCUGGGGGCAUGGGGCAAAUUAAACGUAGGGGCCAUUGCUGACAGAUAGUGUGGCACAUGCAGCGUGGGGACCCCUAUUUCCCAGAACUACCUGUCAUUUGUAUUCUCUUUGUUUAUGGCUUCAUUACGGAGUGGCUGACCUUUGCCGAGCAGCUUGUCAGAAGCAGAGGUUUCAACGUGAU